CUCGAGCCCCGAGCAGAUCGAUCUCCCCCGCCGACCAGACCUUCUCACGCCCGAUCCACCACUACUCCCCCUCCCUGGCCGAUCCAUCCCGACCGCCGCCGCCCUCUCCCCGCACCCGUACCCAAGGAAUCAGCCGGCGGCCAGAUCCGCCCCUCCACUCACCCAACUCUCCCUCCGCCGCCGCGGACCUCGCAGGAAAGACGCGGACGAGAUCCCAAGCCGCUGCUCCUCCUCUCCCGGGAUGCAGCCGCCGCCGCCGAACCAGGGAGCCGCCGGCGACCGUCGCCGCCGUCGUGGAUCACCAUGACGCCGCCGCCUGCACCGCCACCGAGGACGAGAUUACGAGAACCCACGCCCCAGCCGCCAUCGCCGCCGCCGAUCCCUUCGCCGUCGCCGCCGCCGGUCCCUGGCCGCCAUCGCAGAUCCCUUUGCUGCCGCCGAGGUCCUGGAGGAGCCGCCACCACCUUCAUUGCGGACCUCCAGGUCGCCGUCGGGACACCGCGGCAGAGGUUCGCCACGGCCGCCGUCGAGUUCCAAGAGGGGCAUGACCCCAGGGAGAUCUUCGUCGGGGUUGCCGCCGCCGCUGACGUCGCCUGCCGAAGGUGGGCUAAACCUCUCGUCCUCUGGCGACGAACAUCGCCUCCCGCUAGGGUAUGCGGGCGACAGUCGUUACUCAGCGCCAGCAGGUCGCUGCCCCGUCCUCCAAGACAAUGGUAGCAUGCUUAUGCCUUGGGGCAUGGUGUCUAAAUCUGGCAAUGGCUGGGUAACUUAACCAUACCCAACCUGAAACCAUGUGACAAAUUUAAGAAAACUAAACCAGACAAAUUUAAGAAAACUAAACCAAACCAUAAGCAACAGUCGGCCAUGCACACUGUCUGACUACUAUUGAUGUUGGUCUUUCAUGUAGGCUUGCCUUCAAAUAUCACGGCAAGGUAUGUGAUUUCUUAUACUGUAACAGACUGUACAAGUCCACUCUCAUAUACAAGGACCAUGAAAUUGGAUUGUGGCAUUACUUCAACUAUUUUAUGAAGUCCACUGAUUUUUUGAUGAAUAACUAAUAGGUAUGUAUGGAUAGUGCAACCUGCAUAUUCACAACUCUGAAGCAACAGAACUACAAUCAGCUCACAACCCCCAUCGAGUAGUACACCAUCUGUUCCAUUCAGAGGUACUCAUCUUGUUGAUUCAGGUGAGAUCUAUUACCUAUACCUUAGAUCCUCUAAACUGAAGGAGCUCCGAUGGGAAGGGUAUUUUAAAAUCUGGUGUUGUCUACAUGUUUUGGCUGCUUGUAUGUUCCUAGGCAAUGUCUUUCUAGCUGACGAGCAAAUCAUAUGAAAAUAUGAACCACAUAUGAUCUUUGCUAAUAGAAGUACAACACUCAACCUGUGCUAUGUCAAUUCUGUGGCCACUACAUAUUCAGACGGGCAAAUGAACCAAAUAACUCUUUCAGUGGGCCAGUGAUAAUAUUAUUUAUUGAACUGAUUAGAGAAGUAAACUAUAUACUACAACAGUAAACAGAAGUUGAAUUGUUUAGAGAGGUAAACUAUAGAACGGUAAUCUGAAGUACACUUGGAUCCCAAAGAUGCUGGUGGAAAUACGUCAACAAGUUACCCGCUGCAAUCAUCACCAGAGAUAUAACCACAAAACUGUAGUUCAAAGCUAUCCACUACAUUAACCUUGAAUUUCCUAUCAGUUUUCAUCAACGAUGACCUGCCAUAAACCAUACAAAUAACAAUGACUAUUGUGUUUACCUGCACACAAAAGAAGGGAAUUGUUCCUGAACCUGGUUUCUGAGGCCAGGCACGAGUAUUGUUUAAUUUCAGAAUUUGAGAAGAGGUGUAAACCAUUAAGAGGGACGUACCAUGAUGCCAAAAGUUUCAGUCUGCCACCAAGUUUAUUUUGUUCAUCCCACAAAAAAACAUGAACUCUCAAUCAAUGGCUGCAUAGCAUCAGAACACAAGAGGAUUUUGAGCCAAUCAAAAUAUAUUCAUUUAAAAAAAUCACUGCUGGACCGACUGUUAUUCUUCAGUUGCAUUCCCUCUACUUAUCUCUGACGAAUCUACUAUUCUUCAGUUGCAUCCCCCUGUACUGAUAUUAGCUAAUAUAAGUGACAAUGCUCUGACUCUUGGAAUUUAUAAUGCUCAUCCAAUCCUCCCCGUCUAUACCUAUUUAAUAGCUUCAAGAGCUCUCCCCAAAUCAUCAUUCAAAAGUUCUUCAUCUACUUGUGCUAUGUUACGUAGAUAUUUUUCUAGCUUUUAAAGGAAGCAUGUCCAGGUGUUCCUAACAUGCUCGAGGUUUGUAGGGAAUUUAGAAUAUGUAUAUUGAUCAGGAACCUUCGUUGUGUGAAAUUCCUUACUUAUUAUGUCACUUAUAUCAGCUAACUAUCAAGACCAAUGAACUGCAUCACGUCAAUGUAAUCACUUUUUAGUUUAUGUCAAGAUUAAUAGACUGCAUAUGCACCCCACACCCUUGGUUAGAUCUACAAUCAAAUGUAAUGGUGAGAUUUGAUUUAAAAACAGUUAAUUUGUUUGCAUGGCUAUGCAAGAUUAGACAAUGAUUACAUUCUUUAAUUAAACAGUUAAGGGCAUGCCAGACUUUGCAAUCUUCAUAAGAGAUUCUUAGCCUAAAAUCUGCUAGACAAUAUAUCUGCGUACUUCCAGGACUGCUAGUUUGUUGCAAUUACCAGAUACUGCAAGCUGUGGUUCUAAUUCAUUCUUUCGCAUUACCGUUUUGGAAUUCAAUCUGUGGUUGAUUGUUACUUGAUGCUUCUCUUGUUUCGAUCUCCUAGGACUGGAAUGUAGAAGCUUUUUGUUUGUUUUCUCACCAUAUCGUUGUAACACUCUCAGCGUCUUAUGAAAAUUCUGAAGUAGUUUGGAGAAAAGAUGUGUGAGAAGUAGGUAUAUAGAUAUGCCUUCCAUGUGUUGGAUUGAGGAAUUUCUUAUAUCUCUUCUUUUAUUAAUUUCAGGAGAGGAAGAGAAUUUUAGUGGUACUUCAGAUUUUGGUAAUUGUUCAUGAUUGAGUUCACCAUAAUUGAUAAAAAAAUUAUGACUGUUAUCAUUUUCAUGGUUUAUUUUAGUUGCUGGAAGGAAAGAACUGCUAGAAAUUUUGGAAUUGAGAUGUGGUUUUGAACAGUUCUGUCAGGUAUUGCUUAUUUGCAUUGUGCGAUCACAAUUCUGGGGACAAUCGUUUUUAGUUUUGUAGUAUUUCGGAUCUGAGUCCUAUCUUUCUAGCAGAUCACCACAUUUAGCGGGAUUUAGCUUAUUAAACAACAAGCAAACAAUAAAUUUUGUGAAUAUAAUGUGACGUUUCCAGUUAUAACUUUUAGACUUUUGAUUCCUUCCUUUAGUUGUCAGCGGAAAAUACUGAAGGCAUGUAGUUGUAUACAUGUUUGAAAAAUCAGAAGCGGUUACUAACAUUCUGCAUCCUGAUACUACAAUCAACAUUACUAAGCUUGAUGCACUCAUGAUUCUUUAAUAACAGGAUUAACAGUGAUGUUGCUGCUUGAGUUACUUUGCAGGUAACGCUGUUAUGCCAAUGACAUAGUUUAUUCAGCUCUCAGGACAACUACUUCUAUUUCAUAUUCAUAGUAAAACUUCUAUGAAGCUACCAAAAUUCCUUGUUCUGAAUUUGUUCUGAAGCUACUAAAAUAUCCCCUUAUACUAAAAUUGGAUUUCUACUGAAACUUUGUCAAGAUACUCGGUCCUGUUGUACUAAAAUUUACCUGCUUGCUUAUGCAUUAAAAUCUACCUUGUUUCUGAAAUUUAAUAAGGAGGAGCUCAAGGGAGAAAAUGAUUCAAGGAGAAGAGAGCCAGAGAAGGAGAAUUAAGAUGUGCCUUAUACUUAUAAUUUCUGAGCACUACUUGAAUCACGAUAUCAUGUUAGAAGUGUGGGUAUGGGAGGUUUGGUGGAUUGUGAGCCGGAGAUGGUGGAGGAUUGUUAACAGCACUGAUUUAACGGUAAAAAAAUAUUGGUAGUGUUCUUUAUGAAACAUUUGGUCGAUUGUGUGCAGCUGCGGGGACACAUAUUUUUGUAGUUCUAUAUCAAUCAUAUUUAAAAGAGAUCUGGAUGUUCAGCCAAGGUAUGUGAUGUGUAAUACUAUGCAAAUCUUUGUUAAAUAUCAUAUACCCACUCUGUAUACUACAUAUCAUAUACCCAGUCCCAUGAACCAUGUGGUUCUGACAUAAAAAUGUCCUUCGAUUAAUUUUUUCAUGGUUCAUGGGACCAACAACAUUCGAAGAGCAUUUCAGCUGUAUGAUUAGGCUUCUUGAAUUCUAUCAUAAGUCAUAACCUUCAUGUUACGUGGACGGACAUGCUCUGUCAGUUUUUCCCAGGUUCAUUACAACUUACCGCAACAGUAAUACUGCUUGCUUAUUUUACUAAUAACUUCUGCAGGAGUCACUUGCAAGUAUGUUUCACUUGCUUGGGCUGGAACUUUGGUUCAUGGAGAAAAGUUGCAUGAUUAGCCAAGGUAUGUCUGAAUCAAUCCUAACCAAUCUCCCCUCUACUAUGAGGAUACUAACACGAGCAUGUAGGAAUGGGAUUGUAUAUUUUUUGCUGAAUUAUUCGCAUAGCUAUGUAAAUAUGUUCCCGCAACCUACAAGGAGCAUGAUCUUUUUGGCGCAUAACGACAAUGACAUUCUCCGCCCAGGGGAUAUUGAAUCGGUACCUUUUUUAUUGAAGCAUUAGGUCAAUUUCAAACCAUAAAGAUUAGUAAAGAGCAACUAUUCCCUGAGUCCCCUUUUGGGGCCUUGCCUUCUUUUUGUAUAUCCAUUUCUUUAGCAUGAUAUUUUAGCAUGUUCAUCUAACAGACCCUUCUUUCAUUCCUUUAUAGCGCCGUGCGGUUCAUUCUCCUUUGGUGAUGGGACUCAUGGUCCUAUAUGUGCAUUUGGCAACCACUGGAAGAACAUGCGACGACUGGGCUCUCAAGUUCAGUUAUCAUAAUUAACUUCGAUGCUUUUGAGUGUUGUUUCUAGCUGGUGUAAAAUUGGCAAUGACCUAUGUUGGAGAUCUCACGUUUGCCCUGUAGAUUUUAGACUUUGAUAACUACAUCUUGUGGUGUCUUCUCACAUAAAAUACGUCCAUGUUGUUUGGUUCAAAAAUGGAACUGGGUAUGUAAUGCAGUGGAUAGAACUUUUUUUUCUAGAGAGAAAUAUAUCUAUAUUUCUAUUGUUCAA